rnacentral:rRNA from 1 species
GAUGAACGCUGGCGGCGUGCCUAACACAUGCAAGUCGAGCGCGAUUAGUUGGACUGGAGGCUUCGGCCAAAGGGAAGACUAUGAAAGCGGCGGACGGGUGAGUAACGCGUGAGCAACCUGCCCUGUACAGGGGGAUAGCCACUGGAAACGGUGAUUAAUACCCCAUAAACCCAAAGAUCGCAUGAUCUAAUGGGCAAAGUCCUAACGGUACAGGAUGGGCUCGCGUCUGAUUAGCUAGUUGGUGAGGUAAUGGCUCACCAAGGCGACGAUCCGUAACUGGUCUGAGAGGAUGAUCAGUCACACUGGAACUGAGACACGGUCCAGACUCCUACGGGAGGCAG